UGGGGAAUAUUGGACAAUGGGGGCAACCCUGAUCCAGCGAUGCCGCGUGUGUGAAGAAGGCCUGCGGGUUGUAAAGCACUUUAGUUGGGGAGGAAAGGUAUGUACUGCAUAAGUGCAUGCUGUGACGUUACCCAAAGAAUAAGCACCGGCAAACUCUGUGCCAGCAGCCGCGGUAAUACAGAGGGUGCAAGCGUUGUUCGGAUUUACUGGGCGUAAAGGGCGCGUAGGCGGCAUGACAAGUCACUUGUGAAAUCUCUGGGCUUAACCCAGAACGGCCAAGUGAUACUGUCGCGCUAGAGUGCAGAAGGGGCAAUCGGAAUUCUUGGUGUAGCGGUGAAAUGCGUAGAUAUCAAGAGGAACACCUGAGGUGAAGACGGGUUGCUGGGCUGACACUGACGCUGAGGCGCGAAAGCCAGGGGAGCAAACGGGAUUAGAUACCCAAGUAGUCCCUGAGCGGGCUGGCAAGGCGCAU
rnacentral:rRNA from 1 species